UACGAAGGGGGCUAGCGUUGCUCGGAAUCACUGGGCGUAAAGGGCGCGUAGGCGGCCAUUCAAGUCAGGGGUGAAAGCCUGAAGCUUAACUUCAGAACUGCCUUUGAUACUGUUUGGCUUGAGACCGGAAGAGGUAAGUGGAACUGCGAGUGUAGAGGUGAAAUUCGUAGAUAUUCGCAAGAACACCAGUGGCGAAGGCGGCUUACUGGGCAGUAGCUGACACUGAGGCGCGACAGCGUGGGGAGCAAACAGG
rnacentral:rRNA from 1 species